rnacentral:rRNA from 1 species
UUAUUCGGAUUUACUGGGCUUAAAGAGUCCGUAGGCGGCUCAGAUAGUGGGGUGUGAAAUCCCUCGGCUUAACCGAGGAAUUGCGCUCCAAACUCCUGUGCUAGAGGAAUCUAGAGGUGAGCGGAACUGAUGGUGGAGCGGUGAAAUGCGUUGAUAUCAUCAGGAACACCGGAGGCGAAGGCGGCUCACUGGGGAUUUUCUGACGCUGAGGGACGAAAGCCAGGGGAGCGAACGGG